GCUCCAAGCCAGACUGGAUCAUGAAGGCGCAAAGGAGGAACAGGAGGCUUCAUUGCAUGGCGUGCUCUGCUAUAGGGCAAACAGCAGGGACUCGGCGGUAGCAACGGGAGCUCCAGAACCAUGGCAGGAAUGCCUCCACUGCACUUACAGGCAGAGAUCACCACGAACAAGACAAUCCCUGCCCUCAGACUUGCACUCCAAGGAGACAGCACAAAAUGAAAAUGGACUGGAAUGGAGGAAGGAAUUAGCAAACUCAGGGGCCUUUUUCUACAGCAGGGAAUGUGGAGAAGAUGGUGGCUGCAGAGCAGGAGGCCCUUUUCAUGUAUCUUGUGAGGGUGAAGCAAGAGAAAUGGAGGGUCUCUGCUUGGCAGGAGAGCAGACGUCACAGUCUCCAACUCCUGGCCAGGGGCCUUUUGAGAACAUUUUCUCCCUCUAGGGGAUGGGGUGGAUCAAAGGAUGGAGACUUCUGUUCAAAUGCAGGGGGACUGCUACUUGGAAAGAGGGGAAGAUUUCUAUUUUUUAAAAAGCUGAUUGCUUGAGGUUUGUGGGUGAAGCUUGUGAAAUGCUGUCCUAUACAACAAGGCCCUUCCUCCUCUUGAGAACAUUUGUAAUAUUAGAGGCCAAUCCUCUUUCUUUGUGAAAUGAAUGACUUGGGAAAGUCUGUUAAGUAUAGACAUUUGCAUGUCUAUAGAGCUGUGCAUGAGAUUAUCAUACUUUGGACACAUAAUGAGAAGACAUGAUUCAUUAGAAAAGACCGUAAUGCUGGGAAAAACAGAAGGGAGUAGAAAAAAGAAACAAGAGAUGGAUUGAUUCCGUAAAUGAAGCCACAGACCUGACCUUACAAGCCUGAACAGGGUGGUUCAUGACAGAUGCUAUUGGAGAAGGCUGAUUCAUAGGGCUGCCAUAAGUCGAAAUCAACUUGAAGGCACAUAACAGAGUUGUCCAUGUUGCCCCAGAAACAAAUAGCUAGAGAUACCUCCAGAAGGGAAGGUUUAAUUUGCAUUAAGCAGGAACUAUGAUUCCAUGACUCUAUGAUUCUAAGCAGUGAGGAGGCCUCCCCCACCACCACCUCACCUGGGUGGAGUGCUAUUGGUAGCAGAACAAUAGCCCUUUGAGUAGUCUCUCCUGUUGGAAGUUGGGAAGAAAUUGGGCAGCAGCAGAUUAAGUGAAAGAAUUUUGCACACUGCACAUCAUGUGGUAUAUUGGACACUAAUUUAGACGCCUUUUAAAAGAUAAUUAGACAAAGCGGGUUUUGAGGCCAAAAAGGCCAUUUUCUGUUUUUUAAGACUUCCCAGAUUCCCUCCCCUCUUAACGGUAUUCAAGCCAGGCUUUGCUGAGUUUCCUUGGAAUGUAAUAAGUCUUGCACCAGCACUAAGAAUCAUAGAAUAGUAGAGUUGGAAGGGGCCUACAAGGCCAUCAAGUCCAACCCCCUGCUCAAUGCAGGAAUCCAAAUCAAAGCAUUCCCGACAAAUGGCUGUCCAGCUGCCUCUUGAAUGCCUCCAGUGUCAGAGAGCCCACUACCUCUCUAGGUAAUUGUUUCCAUUGUCAUAUGGCUCUAACAGGAAGUUUUUUCUGAUGUCCAGUUGAAAUCUGGCUUCCUGCAACUUGAACCCAUUAUUCCGUGCCCUGCAGUCUGGGGCGAUCGAGAAGAGAUCCCUGUCCUCCUCUAUGUGACAACCUUUCAUGUACUUGAAGAGUGCUAUCAUAGCUCCCCUCAGUCUUCCUUUCUCCAGGCUAAACAUGCCCAGUUCUUUCAGUCUCUCCUCAUAGGGCUUUGUUUCCAGUCCCCUGAUCAUUCUUUUUGCCCUUCUCUGAACCUGAACUUUGAAGAGGCUGGGGGGAGAGGACUAUCCAUCAUUGCCCCCCCCCGGCAUUCCCCUUUUUGCUGCUGUUGGUUGUAAUGGUGCGCCUGGCUUGACCUGAGUUUUCCUGGUUCAUCUCAGUGGAGCAGAGUUAGUCUUGCCUGCCGUGAGGCAUCCUGGGAAGCAGACCCUUUGAGCCACAUCAUUUUUGGGAAUUCCCAAAAUACUCAGACUCCUUGGCUCCACAGCAGCAGCAGCAAAUGACUGAUGGGUGACAGACAAGGGAUAAGUUACUUGCUCCUUUGAGGAUGUAUCUCCUUCAAACAAACAGAGGUGUUCAUUAAAAUGUGUGACAUCCAUUGAAAUAGUAAAAUAUUGCCUGUUUUUCCAGAAGAAGGAAAGGUAUUUUCAUGUCCCACAAAUGAAAAAGGAUCAUCCAUCCAUCAAAACAGCAGAUCCAAAAAAAAUCCCUUUUCAAAGGAAUCCUUUCAAGUUAUCCCCACACCUGCACUUAUCAUAGAAUAGUAAAGUUGGGGGGGGUCUAGAAGGCCAUCAAGUCUAACCCUUUGUUCAAUGCAGGAAUCCAGCUUAAAGUAUACCUAACAGGUGGUGUUCAGAUGCCUCUUGAAUGCCUCCAGUGUUAAGAGCCCACCACCUCCCUAGGUCAUUGCUUCCAUUGGUUCCACUUUUCCCCCUCCUGGUUCACAUUGGAUCCAAUGGGAUCCCAUUUAAGGCAAAGCUGUGACCAGCUUCAGUGGCAAGAUUCGCUCUCAUGAAUCUCUUCAGCCUUUGCUCUCAAGCUCCGCUGGACCCAGGAUCAUAAAGACAGGUGUGAGUCCUAUUACCUGCUUCCCUAGUAAGGCAAAAUUCUCCACCCUGACUUGGUGAUUCCCACAGGCUACAAGAAAGGUACCUUUUACCCUCUUUCUCUCCCCCCCCCGCCUUCUCUAGCAUGAACCUGUGUAGACGUUCAGGGUAGGUAAGUACUCUGUUCUCCAUAGGACUGGGGGGGGGUGAAUGUCUGCCUGCAUAUGACAUAGUUAUACCUCUGUAGGAUAUGUCUAUGUUCUCUGUUCCAU